rnacentral:lncRNA from 1 species
CUGUCAUGAUGAAGUGAUGAAAAGUUGCUUCUCUUGAUGUGAAACUGGGUUCAGAAUGGAGGAAAAGGGCACAAUGCCUAUGUUAUAUAGGUACCAAGCUGAAGUUGGAGAGGAAAGGAAAGCUCUUCCUGAAAAUGCAGUAGUGCUGGAAUGUGCUGUAGAGACUCAGAUUGUUUUUCAGCUCUAGAGGCAUGUAUGGGAAUGUAGCAACAAUGAGGAGACUUGGACCCAGCACAGAGGAGUCUGAACAACAGAAGUUUGUUGGAGACUGGCAAAUACCUGUCCUAGCAGCUAGUUGGCUGAUUUGUCUUCACUUUGGUCCAAACACAGGGAGAAGCUCCUGUCAGGGCAAUCAAGGAUGGACACUUCUAAUGAAGACAAAUGAUCUCCUUCAAAGGAGCGGUGAGCCUUGA